rnacentral:rRNA from 1 species
AACGUGUCCUAUUGUGGGGGAUAACCAGUCGAAAGACUGGCUAAUACCGCAUGAGAUCGAGAGAUGAAAGCAGGGGACCGCAAGGCCUUGCGCGAUUGGAGCGGCCGAUGUCGGAUUAGCUAGUUGGUGGGGUAAAAGCCCACCAAGGCGACGAUCCGUAGCUGGUUUGAGAGAACGACCAGCCACACUGGGACUGAGACACGGCCCAGACUCCUACGGGAGGCAGCAGUGGGGAAUUUUGGACAAUGGGGGCAACCCUGAUCCAGCCAUGCCGCGUGUGU